rnacentral:pre_miRNA from 1 species
CCCACACCCAUGUGUGUAGGACCCCAAAAGAUCACCAUUAAAUUUAUACAGAUCUCUAGAAAAGUUAUCACAUGGGUAUGGGACUUGACUUUUCUAAAGAUUUGUGCCAAAUUUAAUGGUGAUCCUUUGGGGUUCUACACACAUGGGUGUGGG